rnacentral:lncRNA from 1 species
UCAAUGACAUAUGGGCCCUUAUGUGUCUAUGACAUGUGGGCCUAGUGGCAAAUCGUUAAGCAACAUCCGUCGCUGUCCCCUUCCCCCAACCCUAGCCGCCGCUGUCCCCUUCUCCCACUCGUCUCUCCUUCCCCCUCUCCCGCCGUCGCCGGCACGCGCCGCCUCCGCCUUGCCCUCGCGCCGCCGCGUCCACCGCGGCCACCGCCGCCGCGUCCACCUCCGCCGCUGUCGCGUCGCCGUCAGCGAGGCGAGCCACCAUCUCCGCCUUAGCCACCGCCGUCGUCGAGCGCCGCCGCUGCCAACCGCCACUUCCGGCCGCCGGCGUCCCGAUCCGGCCGACUUCCCCUCGCGGCACGCCGUCGCCGUCACCGAGCGCGCCACCUCCGCCUCACGUCGGUGCUGCCGACCACCAGGUCCGGCUGCCUUCGACGGUCGACGUCUGGAUCCGGCCUCCGUGUUGUCGGGGCACGCGGAUCUGACCGCCCGCGUCCCCUCCUCGCCUCACCCUCUCACUCUCCCUCUCCCUCUCCCUCUUCCUCUGACCGCUCCCGUCCGGAUCCCACUUCGCUGCCGCUCUCCCCGCGACGAGCAUAGGCACGGCUGCAUCUUUCCGGCGGCGGCGACGUCUUCUUGA